UACAGAGGGAGCAAGCGUUAUCCGGAAUGAUUGGGUGUAAAGCGUUUGUAGGUGGUUCAUUAAGUCUAAUGUCAAAAGGCAGGGCUUAACCUUGUGAAGGCAUUGGAGAACUAAUGAGCUAGAGUACGGUAGGGCAGAGGGAAUUCCAUGUGGAGCGGUGAAAUGCGUAGAGAUAUGGAAGAACACCAGUGGCGAAGGCGCUCUGCUGGGCCGAAACUGACACUGAGAGACGAAAGCCAGGGAGCGAAUAGG
rnacentral:rRNA from 1 species